rnacentral:rRNA from 1 species
AAGGUUUCGGCCUUAGUGGCGGACGGGUGAGUAACGCGUAGGAAUCUAUCCAUGGGUGGGGGAUAACACUGGGAAACUGGUGCUAAUACCGCAUGAUACCUGAGGGUCAAAGGCGCAAGUCGCCUGUGGAGGAGCCUGCGUUCGAUUAGCUAGUUGGUGGGGUAAAGGCCUACCAAGGCGAUGAUCGAUAGCUGGUUUGAGAGGAUGAUCAGCCACACUGGGACUGAGACACGGUCCAUACUCCUACGGGAGGCAGCAGU